UGUACAAUAUACCGAUAAACUUCCCGACAGCGUUGUCUGGCCGAUAAGUUAGUUUGUACUGUAUUACAAUGUACGGUUAUUUUUAUCGGGGAGAUUAUUGACAGGAUAACUUAUCGGGUAUUCAGAGGUGCCGAUAAGGCGAUAUGUAUGGUUACCAAGGUUUUUACAUAACAAUAUUGAUAAACGUUGUCUGUCGUGAAAAAGUUUGGUUAGUUUGUUGUUCUGGAAGGAAAAAAAUAAACGUACUGCUAAUUAUACACAAUUAGGUGUAUAUUAGGCAAUUAAAUAUAAUUGCCUAAUAUACACCUAUAUAUUUAAUUGCCUAAUAUACAGGUGUUUCAUGAGGAAUGGUACGUACGUUAAUAUGUUAUAGAUUUGUUCAUUUUAAACAGAAAUGUUCCUAAAAACAUGUGCUCAAUUCUCAAAGAAAUUCUAGCUAAUAUUAUAGAAAAUAAAAAAACAGAUGCACUUGGAAAGAGCAUCAAGAUAUGCACAAGAGAGCAUAUCUUGUAUUUUAGAAAGCGGCAUAGCAAAAGAAUUGUCAAACUUUUAAUUCAACCGGCACGACAAACCGUACAUGGGAACAGCUUCGCAGUAAAUACGAAACAUUAAAAAAAGAUGUCAAGCCAUUGCCAAAUACCGCACUGAUGUGAUAGGUACUGGUGGAGGUCCAUGUGAAGAAAAGUUAAACCCGUUACAUGAAAGAACUAGAAAUUUGAUAAAAUUAAGCUGCGAUGGAACACCAUCACAAUUUGACAGUGAUUGUUUAGGUUAAUUAUUUUACCAAUUUUAUAAUAUAUGUGUUUAACUCUGUUUAUGAGAAAUGCAUGUUUAAUCU